rnacentral:rRNA from 1 species
UACAGAGGGGGCCAGCGUUAUUCGGAAUUAUUGGGCGUAAAGGGCGCGUAGGCGGCCAUGCGUGUCUUCCGUGAAAUCCCUCGGCUCAACCGAGGACGUGCGGAAGAAACUGCAAGGCUCGAGUCCGGAAGAGGGGGGCGGAAUUCCCAGUGUAGCGGUGAAAUGCGUAGAUAUUGGGAGGAACACCAGUGGCGAAGGCGGUCCCCUGGGCCGGUACUGACGCUGAUGCGCGAAAGCGUGGGUAGCAAACGGG